GUCACAGGUGGCGCGGUGCCCGCGACCGUCCAGAGGACGGCUCGGAGAACGCACAGCGUCGAAUGCGCAAUACCCAACGAAGACGGUAGACAAG
rfam:Pseudomonas oryzihabitans strain TSDA-ARS-TSMARC-56511, complete genome.